ACAUAUGCUGAGCUUUUCUCCAGUGGUGGAAGUGGCUUUGCUACAGUCACCUGGUUUUGGGCAGAAGGAGAAACAAUUUUGAGCAAGGAAACAUGAAAAGUUGGUGCAUGUGGGAGGUAAUUCUAGUUGAUAUGCUACAUUAUUAACUUCUGGCAUUGACACCUGAUUAUUAGCCGUUCAGCAAAUCAUUUUUAAUGUUUUAAGGUGGAUUAUUUUGGAUUGUUUUAAAGUGCAACAAUAUUUUAUUUUGAAGUGCAACAGUAACAAUGGUCGAAUACACAGGAUGAUCUGAAGGCGCGAGAAUGAUUUCCUUCUAGCCCAGAUUGUAGAUUCAUGCAGGCUGUCAGUGACAGGUGUGUCAGGUUAUUACACAGAGGGAAAUGCCUCCUGGAUUUGAACUUCAUCGCACCACCCAUUUUCCAUACACAUCCUACACACUCAGGUGAACACCAAGGAAUUUGGUGCUCUUGACGAUCUCCACGGAGGAGCCAUCGAUGCUCAGUGGAGAGUGGUUGCUCCGUGCUCUCCUGCAGUCAACAAUCAUCUCUUUUGUUUUGUCCACAUUCAGAGACAGGUUGUUGGCUCUGCACCAGUCCGUUAGCCGCUGCACCUCCUCUCCGUAUGCUGACUCGUCGUUCUUGCUGAUGAGACCUACCCACGGUCGUGUCAUUGGAGAACUUGAUGAUGUGGUUGGAGCCGUGCCUUGCUGCACACUCGUGAGUCAGCAGUGUGAACAGCAGUGGACUGAGCACACAGCCCUGGAUUUGGAGCGCUUAAGCUUUACGUUAACAGUGUAUAACUUCUAAAUAACUAAAAUGCACUCUGUUUGUGUUCUGAUUAAAAAGACUGUUGUAGCUUCUUGAUCUUUAUUUAUAGGCAUGUUGAGAUAGUGUUGCAUUUAAUGUUUUUUUCCUUUACAUGUUGUGAUUUUAAUUCUUGCUUUUGCUAUGAUGUCAACAUGAUUGGAAAACCAAGCAGCAGAUAUUCUGAGAUGCGUGUGACUGACAGCAGGAUGAGUAUGGCGAACACCACACCACAGAGAGGAGCGGGUAUGGGUGCUGGUGGGCAGAGAAACAGCAUUGUUGGGACUUAGGGAGAAGAUAAAAGACCCCCGACCUCUUCACGAUAAAGCCUUUGUUUGGCAGUGUAUCAAGGAGCUUUGUGAGUUCCUUGGAGAUAAUGGCUUCCCAGCUUCAAUCACAGUCAAAUCUCUCCAGUCGCCCUCCACUAAAGAGUUCCUGAAGAUCUUUGUGUUUAUCUACAGUUUGUUGGACCCCCACAGUUUGAGAUGCCCAACCCGUGAUGGCCUGUAAAAAAAAAACAACCCCAAAAUAAAUGAUGUUUUUUGCAUGACUUUCUCCAUCAGCACACAGCUUUGGGUAGAACGGUUCAGGACUCUGGGUAGCACCAUCAAUACCUCUCUUUUUCAGCCCUUUGCACAGUGCUAUCUCGGAUCCAAAAAAUAUCAUAGUAGAAAAUAAUGUGGAAAACAAUCAAAUAAAAAGUGUGCUAAUGGAUGUCAAAAGAACAACAUUGCCCAGUUUUACUAGCUACAACCUUGCAACCACCUGGUAUCAUAUUGAAACCUCCUAGAAACACCAUAGCAAUCACCUGGGAUCAUAUUGAAACCUCCUAGAAACACCAUAGCAACCAACUGGAAGCCCAUAACAGUCACCUAUUAGGCAGCUGGUUUUAAUGUUAUGGCUGAUCAGUGUAUACUUCUCUAUAACUACCUCUCUAUAACUUGUUCAGAAUAAACUCUAUGUCCUCAUUUGUAAGUCGCUUUGGAUAAAUGAAUGAAUGUAAAUGUAAUUGUUCCUGUGUGCUUCUCUACUGCCUUGGAAUAAACUCUGUUUUGUGAUUUUA